UUUGUAUUAAAGAAUUAAAUGGAUGAAAUAUGAAGUUUUAUUAAAAGAAAAAGGGGUGAAAAGAACAAAGUUUUGUCCAUCUUUGUUCAUCAUAGCUGAAGUUAGAGAAGAGAAAGGAGAGGAGAAAGCUCUUGAGUAUUCGGUCAUUAGGAGGAGGAAAAUUGAAGGUAAUCCCCAACCAUAGUGGGCUUGGAGCUGUGAGGGAAUUCGGAGUGGCCACCCGUUCUGAAAGUUUGAUUUUCUUCUGGUGAACUGGACAUCCUUUUAUUUACGUUUGAAGUUUUGGGUUUUUAAAUGUAAUAAGGCCGCUUAAUUA